UACGUAGGGGGCAAGCGUUAAUCGGAAUUACUGGGCGUAAAGUGUGCGCAGGCGGCCGCGCAAGUCGAGUGUGAAAGCCCCGAGCUUAACUUGGGAAUUGCGCUCGAAACUACGUGGCUGGAGUGUGGCAGAGGAAGGUGGAAUUCCAGGUGUAGCGGUGAAAUGCGUAGAGAUCUGGAGGAACACCGAUGGCGAAGGCAGCCUUCUGGGCCAACACUGACGCUCAUGCACGAAAGCGUGGGGAGCAAACAGG
rnacentral:rRNA from 1 species